AUGAAGGCAAUGUCCGGGCCGAAGCUGCUCCUCGUCCGCCAGCCGUCGAGCAAGUACGGGAACGGGGCGGUGUCGCCGGCGACGGCCGCGUCCGUCUCCGGCCGCCGCUUCUGGCUCGUCGCGUUCCUCGCGCUGUUCACCUGCGCGUCCCUGCUCACGGUCUUCUCCACGGCGCGCGCGCCGUCCGGGGCGGCGUCGCCGCGGGUCACGUUCGCGGCCGGCGCCGGCGCGGGCAGCGCCAUCGGCGCGUCGGCGGACGGAGGGGCGCUGCCGGCGUACGUGUUCGACGCGCUGGUGCGGUACGCGGCGGCGGCGGGGGCGAACUCGACGGUGAGCAUGCCGGAGGAGGACGUGCGCGCGAUCGCGUCGGUGCUGCGGCGGCGCGCGCCGUGCAACCUGCUGGUGUUCGGCCUCGGCGCGGAGACGCCGCUGUGGCGCGCGCUGAACCACGGCGGGCGGACGGUGUUCCUGGACGAGAACCCCUUCUACGUGGCGCACAUGGAGGGCGCGCACGGCGGGCUGGAGGCGUACGACGUCGCCUACGCCACCGCCGUGCGCGAGCUCCCGGACCUCCUCGACGCCGCGCGCGCGUCCCGGCGCGCCGAGUGCCGCCCCGUCCAGAACCUGCUCUUCUCCGACUGCCGCCUCGCCAUCGGCGACCUGCCCAACCAGCUCUACGACGUCGCCUGGGACGUCAUCCUCGUCGACGGGCCGCACGGGUACGCCGAGGCCUCACCGGGGAGGAUGGCGGCGAUCUUCUCGGCGGCGGUGAUGGCGCGGACCAAGGGGACGGUGACGGACGUGCUGGUGCACGACUACGAGCGGGAGGUGGAGAGCAUGUGCGCGAGGGAGUUCCUCUGCGACGAGAACCGCAUUGAGGGGACCGGCACACCGUCGCUCGGCCACUACGUCGUGCGCGGCGGCGCCGCCGCCAACCGGGAGGCCUUCUGCGGGGCGCCACCGACCACGAAGAAGGCAAACUAG
rnacentral:rRNA from 1 species